UCUUCACUCAGAAUAAGAGCUACCACUUCAUUAAACCUCACUGUAGUCUUUUCCGAAGAAUUACUAACAGCCGUGAUGAAGCCUUCCCAACUUUCAGGCAUCUGACCUAGAAGAGCCCACGCCUUCACCUCAUCAGUGAACGUGAUCUUCACAGAUUCCAAUUGGGCACAUAGGGUAUUGAAUUCACUCAGAUGUGAAUGAACACU
rnacentral:lncRNA from 1 species